rnacentral:rRNA from 1 species
UGGGGAAUUUUGCGCAAUGGGGGAAACCCUGACGCAGCAACGCCGCGUGAGUGACGAAGGCCUUCGGGUCGUAAAACUCUGUCAUUGGGGACGAAGACCUAGUCAAGAAACGGACUAGGAUGACGGUACCCGGUGAGGAAGCCCCGGCUAACUACGUGCCAGCAGCCGCGGUAACACGUAGGGGGCGAGCGUUGUCCGGAAUUAUUGGGCGUAAAGGGCGUGUAGGCGGCUAACUAAGUCAGCGGUGAAAAGCCGGGGCUCAACCCUGGUCCUGCCGCUGAAACUGGUCAACUUGAGGGCAGGAGAGGUAAGCGGAAUUCCUAGUGUAGCGGUGAAAUGCAUAGAUAUUAGGAAGAACACCAGUGGCGAAGGCGGCUUACUGGCC